UAAGGAAUAUUGGGCAAUGGACGCAAGUCUGACCCAGCCAUGCCGCGUGAAGGAUGAAGGCCCUNUGGAUUGUAAACUNCUUUUAUNUGGGGCGAAAACAACUNUUUCUAGAGUUNUUGACNGUACCAGANGAAUAAGCACCGGCUAACUCCGUG
rnacentral:rRNA from 1 species